UACGAAGGGGGCUAGCGUUGUUCGGAAUUACUGGGCGUAAAGCGCGCGCAGGCGGCCGACCAAGUCAGGGGUGAAAGCCCGGAGCUCAACUCCGGAAAUGCCUCUGAAACUGUUCGGCUCGAGUACGGUAGAGGUGAGUGGAAUUCCCAGUGUAGAGGUGAAAUUCGUAGAUAUUGGGAAGAACACCGGUGGCGAAGGCGGCUCACUGGACCGUUACUGACGCUCAGGCGCGACAGCGUGGGGAUCAAACAGG
rnacentral:rRNA from 1 species